UUGCUUUUCUUUUUUAUUAAAAGGGCUAUUUCUUUCUUUUUUUUGGCGAGACAAGCUUUUUAUGUUUGAAAUAUAUGUGGAUGGUUUCUUUGAUUUGGGUUUUGUUCGAUAUUUAUGAAUCCUGUUCUAAUUUUAGCUUUUUGUUCUUUUUUUUUUUCUUUCCUUCAUGUCUGGCCCCAAUUCCUCUUACUUGUUUGCAUCAAAUGGAUUAAUUUACUUUUGAUUCUACUCUAGAUAUGUGAUUUUCUGUUUUGGGAAAUGGCCUAAGGCCAGAAUUUAUCCCUCUGUUGUGAGUUUUUGUUUUCAUUUGUGCUUGACAGUACUGCAAAAGCUCUUACCUUCUUGUUCAAAUCCAAUGAAUAUUGCUGUUUGGUUGGCAUUUGGCAAUCCGCAGAGAGGAUUGAUCCGGUGCUAGUAUUGUUUCCUUCUAUAAAUGUGAUUGGGUUAUGAUGGAAGAGAAAUAAGUCAAGCUCUGUGGUCAGUGGUGCCUUUAUGAUCAAACAGACUAUGAAGUGGGAACUGGGAACCAUGUCACCCUAUAGGCUGUGAUGGAGUUGCUAAAAUAUGUUUGCCUGUUUGUUUUUAGUUUGGACACUACAGUUCACAUCAUGUUUUUGGGAGUGUUAUACCUCUUAAGCUUUGGAAGAGUGGUUGAUAGCAUAUGGAAAUCUUACAUGGUCAGAUGCUACUUUGGCAAUGCUCACAAGUGGCUCAAGAAAAGGGUUGUGAGCGUAACCUGAUCUGUCUUGUAAACUUGACAUGACUGAUGACUCCCCAUAUGGUGCCCGUAUAUUCUUUUCCUUCCACUUGCAGUCAUGCCCUAUUUUGAUGGGCAUGCCCCAAAUUAUUCACUAUUUAUGGAAUCAAUAAAAUACAAAUUGCCUU